AGAGUUAAACAGUACGUGAAAUUGUUGAAAGGGAAACGAUUGAAGUCAGUCAUGCUUGCAGGGAAUCAGCAAGUUGGGUUUUCUUCCUUGUGCACUUUCUUGCUUGGCAGGUUAGCAUCAAUUUUGAUUGUCAUUAAAGAACUGGGGGAAUGUGGCUUCUUCGGGAGUGUUAUAGACCCUGGUAGAUGUGGCGAUUGGGAUUGAGGAUUGCAGCGAAUGCUUCUUGGCUAGUCACCUGACUUCUGAUGGUCGCCUUGUUUCCGAUAGCUUGCUAACGGUGGUGAGAUUCGAUUGUCUAGAUGUUAGAGUGAUCAUAAAUUCGCUAAGGAUGCUGACGUAAUGGCUUUAAACGACC
rnacentral:rRNA from 1 species